CUGGUGUCAGCCGCCGCGGUAAUACCAGCACCCCGAGUGGUCGGGACGAUUAUUGGGCCUAAAGCAUCCGUAGCCGGUUCUACAAGUCUUCCGUUAAAUCCACCUGCUUAACAGAUGGGCUGCGGAGGAUACUAUAGAGCUAGGAGGCGGGAGAGGCAAGCGGUACUUAGUGGGUAGGGGUAAAAUCCGUUGAUCCAUUGAAGACCACCAGUGGCGAAGGCGGCUUGCCAGAACGCACUCGACGGUGAGGGAUGAAAGCUGGGGGAGCAAACCGGAUUAGAUACCCGGGUAGUCCCUGCUGUAAACGAUGCAGACUCGGUGAUGAAUAGGCUUCGUGCCUAUUCAGUGCCGCAGGGAAGCCGUUAAGUCUGCCGCCUGGGGAGUACGGUCGCAAGACUGAAACUUAAAG
rnacentral:rRNA from 2 species